rnacentral:lncRNA from 1 species
CCAAUUUCCAGUUUGUCAAUUUAAAACCAUAUACAGUCUACUAUUGUCUUGACUCCAAGUAACAACUAUACAAUCUAAAUUUAAUUAACUUGAAUAAACAACUAAAUUAUGGAGAACAAAACUAUCUAAAUUUCAGAGGACUAUUCAACAGUAGAGCAACAACAGUAGACUUAUUUCAUUUUCAUUUUAGCUGAAAUUUACACACUGAGGUUCAGAGCAUGUACCUGAAAUUUGAAGUGAAGUAAGAAGAAGAGUAAGUCAGGAAUAGCGAUUACAUCAACCAAUGAUAACCCAUAGCUCAAACAACAACAAUUAGGAACAGUUGGGCCAAAAAUCACUUCAGAACCCAGUAACUCAUCACUGAAUACAACACAAAGCCUAAUACCCCUAAAGCUGACCCAAAACAACUUACAAUCACACCAGUAGUACUCAAAAAAUUUCAGCAAUCAAGUCACAAAAGUGAGAGCCAAUAGAACAGUAACUUUGUUGCUAUUUUUUUGAGUUUUUCUAACCUCUACUACAGAUUUGGAAUUUAAAGUGGAGAUAGUAUCUGGAAAUUAAAACUAACUGAAAAUGGAACUAUCAGGGGGAAUUUUUGAGAGAAGACUAAGAUAUCUCGAUGGAACAGUACACUGCUGAUAUUUUUUAAGGCUUUUCUGUAUUUUUCUACUAUUUUUGGAUUUUAUCAUUCGAAAAUCUAAAACUGAAUCUGGACAAAAGAAACAAGAGAAAAUGCUAAUUGGGAGGAACUUUGGGCUAUAAAAAGACCCCCUCAAAAGGCACAUGCAAUGCCUAUUCAUAGGCAACUAAAGGGUGGUGAAUUAGAUUUUUGUUUUAUAUUUUAGUCCCUCUCUCUUUAUUCUUUUGUUCCUUUUAUUUCUAUGUUUUAGAACAAAUGACUCUUAUCUAGAAACUCCUAGGAGUUACACAUUAUUCGUGUGACUAUCAAAUUUCCACAAUGCCCCUGAACGCAACUCAGAUUUACUAAACUGUUUCAAACGACUAAUUCCAAUUAUCUUAAUCAUAUUCUAUCCUACCCCCUCUAUUAAACCCGAUAAGUCAAUUAAUUACACAAGCAACUAAUAAUCUAACUAUUCAGACUAAGCAAUCAAAAAUUAACCCAAGUAAACACUUAUCAUGACGAAUUAAUCUACCAAUUAACUAAUCAAUUAUGAAAUUCAAAACCAACUGGAAUUAAACUCAAGCAAAAAUCCCAAAACUUACACAUGCAACUAAACAGAAGGAAAGAAGAAAUGGACUAAUAAAGAAAAAGAAGGUUAUGAACUCAUUGAUAUACACAGAAACUCCGGCCAGCCAUCGACGUCCAAAUCCUCCAAAACUUCUGACACGUAACAUCUCCAAUCAUCUGUUUUCAUAUGAAAACACAUGGUUAGGGAUAUUACGGUCCUAAAUCACAAAGAUUUUGAGUUAGGGUUUUUUGGCCGAAAAUUGUUAAAUUGCUAUUAGAGCAAAUCCCGGCAGAUUCGAGAGAUGCCACUAUGGGGGUUGGGUGGAGUAUGCCUGGGUGGUUCUAUGGUGUAAACUUGGGAACAUUUGGCGUAAGUAGUGUUCGUUGGAAAAUCAUCCAUGAAAUAUUCAACGGUUUCUAGUGAGAUUCAAAGGAAACUAAGGGUGGGAAUGGGUAGAGGUGAGCAAUGUAAGUUAGUGGUGUAGAUUUGGUAGUCAUUGGCAUAAGUGGUGUUCACCGCCGAUGGCAGCUCCAGCGGUGUUACAAUCUCUAGUACGAGGAAGAUGAGGUUAAGUAUUACAGUUGAUGACUAGAUUCGGACAGUUUU